rnacentral:lncRNA from 1 species
AAUUUUUGCAGCCUUUCCUAUAGCGGCUGUAACUGGCCCAAUUUACCGGCCCGUUAUAAACCAAAAAAAUCAUGAUAAAACCAAAUAAAAUAUAAAGUCCAAUUUUAAACAAUCCCUUAACAGCUCAGUUACAAAACCCAAUUACGUUGACCCAAUACGGCCUAAAAAAAAAACCUAAAACCUAGCCCAAAAUUACACGGCCCGACAAGCCCAAAAAGUUAAACACUCAGAACCCUAGGGCUUCUGCUAGGCGCCGCAGUAGCCACCAAGCAGCCCUUCGUCCUCACCGCCAGCGCAGCACCGUACGACCACCUAGUGCCUCCGUACCUGCGAACCAAUGCAAACACAACAACAAAAAAAGAAAAAUAGGACAAAAAAGAUUGUAUUUUUCUUUAUUGUAUUUUUCUUAUUUGGCUAUAAAGCCAUUUUUCAUUUUCGAUUGUAAGGGGGAUUACAGAUGCAUAUUGGAAUACAAAAAAUCAAUUAAAAUUAGCAGAAGGUUGCGUUUUUUUUUAGUUUAUCUUGCUUUCGUUUGAUUUCAAGGGUGGAUUUACUUUGUUUGAUUUCAAGGGUGGAUUUACUUUGUGAUUGCAAAAAAAAUAUAAACGGAGGUAUUGAAACGCUUUUCGUUUUCAUAGAUCGAUCCCUCUUAUUUUCUAAAAUAGAUUUCAAAUGAUUUUCAUCUAGAUCUUUUUUAUCUUCUUCUAUUUUUGUUAAUGUAUAAAAAUAGAGAGAGGAGGGAAAGGGAAUACGCUUACCAGGCCUGCGUACGCGCUGUAAGCCACCAGAAGUGGAGAUGGUCCGGCGGCAACAUGAGGUUUGGGUGAAACCCUAGCAGAGAAGGUUAAGAAGUUAAAGUUUUUUUUUUAAAACAAAAGGUUUUGUUAUGAAAAAAAUUAAAUAAUAAGGAAAGAUUAAGGAAAAUUUGAAGCGCCACCAUGGGGGAAAGAGCCUGCGCAUUGACCCAGUGCGCAUUUCCACCCUAAAUGGGUAAUUUUGCAUGGCCAGUCCCUAUUAUUUGCGCAACCUUUAAUUUAACCCUAUUCUGUUUCUUUUAUUUUUUCCUUGAAAUUUGCGCACCACUUCACUUUAGUCCACUCUUGGGUGCUGUUUUUUUGGGUUAGGAACAUUUCGUUUUUAGUACUCGCACAUUCACGCGCAUUGCAC